UACGGAGGGAGCUAGCGUUGUUCGGAAUUACUGGGCGUAAAGCGCACGUAGGCGGCUUUGUAAGUUAGAGGUGAAAGCCCGGGGCUCAACUCCGGAACUGCCUUUAAGACUGCAUCGCUUGAAUCCAGGAGAGGUGAGUGGAAUUCCGAGUGUAGAGGUGAAAUUCGUAGAUAUUCGGAAGAACACCAGUGGCGAAGGCGACUAACUGGACAUGUAUUGACGCUGAGGUGCGAAAGCGUGGGGAGCAAACAGG
rnacentral:rRNA from 1 species